UUUUGAUGUAGACAGAGAGCCGCUUUUUGUGCGUGCGCGGCCCGACUGCGCACCUGUCUGCCUCCAGGCCGCGCAGUCGACUGCAGCCUCGCAUUUCUGGCUGGCGUUGGUGUGCUAACGCAUUAGCGGGCUUGUAGUGGCGCCUUAAUGAAGGCUUCUGACCGGCUGCCUGACGCGCAUGACGGGGUCAGAGGUGUCGAGCUGCUCGCGCUGACAUCACCACGGACACAAGACUGGAAAAGGGGUCGAUGUGGAAGCAGAAAAAUCCCCAAAAGACGAGUGAAAGUGCUGCUGGCAAUGCAGGCCCCCCCCGCUCGAGCGGCGUCUGGGCCGGACCGCCACAUCAUACGGCGACAGUGACGUGAUUGAUACCCGAACGCGCACGCGCACCCGCCGAGUGCGUCAAGAUGUCUCCCGUACGACAACCCCCCCCCAGCGGCUCCUCGUCAUCUGGCUGACGUUCUCUUGCAAGUAGAGAGCUGCCGAGAGGUCUUUGUUGGCUGCCGCAAUACUUCAAAAGGCCGUCGCCUCUCUUCACGUUUCAUCCUGAUAAACGUCCGUCUCGUUCACCUCCGUCGUCUCGAAAAGGCAAAAUACGCCUCGGUGACCGCGUCGCCUUCGACGCGACUCAAACAGCUAGUAAGGUCACACUGAAGGGAAAAAUAUUUGGAUGUAAAAAAGUUGCCAAAACUUUUUUUCUAUAAACAUAAUUUUUUUGGACGAAUAUCAUUUAUUUAAAAAAAAAAAAGUUGUACUUUUUAAAGAAAAAACAUUUUAUUUGUUAAAUGAAUAUAUUUUGUUCUAUUUCUGGAGGGGAAAAGUUGUAUCUUUUGAGAAAAAAAGUGAUUUAUUUUCAUGAAAAAAACGUAGA